rnacentral:lncRNA from 1 species
UCAGAUUCUCUUCUAGGAAGAGAGAACCUUUGCGAAGUUUCCAUCAGACUGCUUUCAACAUCAACGGUAGAAUCACUGCUAUUUGUAAAAUUAACCCUGCACCCCAGUGAUUGUACAGCUCGCUGUAUGGCUGCGUUUUCUUUGCUGGCUCUUUUUGCCAAGUUAAUUGCUGAGCUGCUGACCUGUUUCUCAUUUUGUAGAUCCACAUUCAAUAUUUCCAUGGCCGCCAAGUAUUCUUUAGCUUUCAUUUCAGCCACUUCUUUAGCCUGUUAGCAUCACAACACCAGAUAAAUAUUUCGGAAAAACCUUGUGCUUGGUAAUACCAUUACAUGCUUCCAGUUCAUGCCACAAUGCAUUUCUGAUUAACCAGAAGGGAUAGUGACCAAAAUCAUAAGAUUUAAUACCUUUUGCAGUUCGGAAAACUUUAUAGCCAUGUUCCUGCAUUCAGCCUCAAGCUCACCAGCUUGGGAUUCGAAAGGACAUGCCCAACGAAGAUGGAAUUGGGGCCAAAGUGUUG